rnacentral:rRNA from 1 species
UACGAAGGGGGCAAGCGUUGUUCGGAAUUACUGGGCGUAAAGGCGCGCAGGCGGCCGAUCAAGUCAGAUGUGAAAGCCCCGGGCUCAACCUGGGAAUAGCAUUUGGGACUGGUCGGCUAGAGUUCGGGAGAGGAGAGUGGAAUUCCCAGUGUAGAGGUGAAAUUCGUAGAUAUUGGGAAGAACACCGGUGGCGAAGGCGGCUCUCUGGACCGAUACUGACGCUGAGGCGCGAAAGCGUGGGGAGCAAACAGG